rnacentral:rRNA from 1 species
AUGGAGGGCGUGCAGAAAACUCUGGAGGAAUUACUGACGAAAUUUUCGUCGCUGUCGACCGAAGUCCAGCAGCUGAGUACUCAGGUGGCCGAUUUCGGCGAGGGGUUGGAUGCGGUCAAGCGUACCCAGGCCAUGGAGGCGGUGGUGCGGACGGCUCCUUCGUCCUCCACCACACACCCCGCGGUAGUGUUGGUCAACAAGGGACCCCCACUCCUCCACGUUCCACCACGGCCACCACCGCCGCCUGUUCGUCGCGACGCACACCCGGACCGCCAGGCCUCACCACCACGGUCCCCGCGCGACACCUACCGUCACAAGCCGCCGAAGCACGAUUUUCCCCGGUUCAGCGGCGACGCCCCGCGCCUCUGGUUUGACCUCUGCCACACCUAUUUUCAGCUCUAUCAAACGCCACCAGAGCACUGGGUUUCUACAGCUGUGUUGUAUAUGGACGGCCAUGCCGCGCUAUGGUGUCAGGCGUACAAGCGUCUGCAUGGUCUGGGUGAUUGGUUUUCAUUCAUGGAGGCAGUGCAGACUGAAUUUGGGCAGGAUGAGUUUGACGGCUUGCUGCAUCGUUUGCAUCACCUCAAGCAGACUUCUACUGUCGCUGAGUACAGGCUCUCGUUUGAGGCUAUUAUGUAUCAUCUCAUUGCGCUGGAUCCGUCCUUGAAUCAGAAAUUUUUUGUUUCUCAGUUUAUCAUCGGUCUCCGGGAUGAGGUCCGCACAGGAGUGCGCCAGCACGCGCGGACGAGCGUUUCCAGAGCAGCGGCACUUGCCCGGAUUCAGGAGGAAGAAUCUGAACACAGCAAGCCGCGGGGUCGCCCACCGGUGUAUACUCGCGCCAUCCCUCCGCCGCCGGUGCCUGCAAUGGCUCCUGGACCAGUACAGCCACGCAUCGAUGGUGCUAAGCGCGGCCCGGAUGAUUUUGGCCGCGAACGGCAACUGCGUGAAUUCAGACGCGCCAAUGGAUUGUGUUUCAAGUGCGGUGACAAGUAUUCCAGAGAACAUAAAUGCAACAGGGUUGGUCAGCUCCUAACCAUUGAAGUGGGCGAUCAUGGUGAACUUUUGUCUGAUGAUGCCAUCCGUGCGCUUGAGUUGCUUGAUGACAAUCCAGAAGAAGCUGCAGCUUGCUAUCAAAUUUCAGUCCAUGCGGUAGCAGGAACAGAAUCGUCAGGUACCAUGAGGCUACGAGCAUUGGUUGGCAACCAGGUAAUGCUAUUGUUGGUAGAUUCUGGCAGCACGCAUACAUUCGUGAAUUCCACGUUUGCGUCACGAGCCGGUUGCACGGUGCAGGAAGCAGAACCGGUGACAGUGCGUGUGGCUAAUGGCGAAACACUGAAAUCCACACAGCAGGUCUCUCAAUUGAAGUGGUGGUAUCAGGGACAUACUUUCAGCACUGAUAUGAGAUUGUUGGAUUUAGGGGCAUAUGAUGCUGUCCUUGGAGUUGAUUGGCUGGCCCAAUUCAGCCCCAUGAAUUGCCAUUGGGGACUGAAGACCAUGGAGUUCCGCUAUGGCCUGACAAAUAUUCAGUUGCAAGGGGUACGGGCACCUGGGGAGCCAACACUGACUGAAAUACGAGCAGAGCAACUGUCGAAGUGGAUUCAGGGCAAUGAGGUUUGGGCUUUGGCAGUUAUCCAGCCUGCAGAUUCUGUUACAAACAACACCAAGCCACUGCCACUACCUUUGCAAGCUCUACUGGAGGAGUUUGCUGAUGUAUUUCAGGAACCUACCACACUACCACCACAUAGAUCGUUUGAUCAUGCUAUACACUUGGAACCCGGCGCCACUCCUCCCAAUGUUCGGCCGUAUCGAUAUUCUCCUCUUCAGAAGGACGAGAUUGAGCGUCAGGUGACUGAAAUGUUAAAAGCUGGGUUGAUCACCAAUAGUAUUAGUCCAUUUGCUGCUCCUGUCCUGCUAGUCAAGAAGAAGGAUGACACAUGGCGUUUCUGUGUCGAUUAUCGCCGACUGAAUGAUAUCACAAUUAAGAAUAAGUUUCCCUUACCAGUGAUUGAUGAACUGCUAGACGAGUUGGCGGGAGCUCGCUUCUUUUCUAAAUUGGACUUACGAUCGGGUUAUCAUCAAAUCAGGAUGCGCCCAGAGGAUGAAGCCAAGACAACAUUUAAAACCCAUCACGGCCAUUUUCAGUUCCGAGUAAUGCCGUUUGGUGUCACAAAUGGGCCACCUACAUUUCAGUGUUUGAUGAAUUCUGUCUUGGCACCUGGUACCAGGAAGUAUGUCAUAGCAUUUUUGGAUGACAUCUUGACAUACAGUGAGUCGUUUGAUGAGCACCUGCAACAUUUGAGACUGGUUCUUACCACACUUCGGCAGCAUCAGUUAUAUGCCAAAUUUUCAAAGUGCACUUUUGCCCAGUCUUCCAUCAAUUACUUGGGCCAUGUGAUUUCAGCAGAAGGGGUUGCAACAGAAUCUGACAAAACAGAGGCGAUCCAAAACUGGCCACAACCUUCUUCACAAACAGAACUGCGAGCAUUUUUGGGCCUGACGGGAUACUAUCGCAAGUUUGUCAGGAAUUACAGUAUAAUCACAAAACCCCUGACAACUCUUUUGAGCAAGAAAGGUUUUGUUUGGUCUGUUGAAGCCACUGAGGCCUUCCUGAAACUGAAACAAGUGAUGACUACUACACCAGUGCUCGCUUUACCAAAUUUCUCACUCCCAUUCACUGUAGAGACGGAUGCUUGUGACACUGGGAUCGGGGCUGUUCUCUCGCAGCAAGGUCACCCAAUUGCGUUUCUCAGUCGCGCGCUCGGGGUCAAUAACAAGAAGUUGUCGGUGUAUGAAAAAGAGUUUCUCGCAGUGAUGAUGGCGAUCGACCGUUGGCGACCAUAUCUUCAGCGAGGUCAAUUCACCAUAUUAACGGAUCACAAAAGUCUCUGUACACUAGGGGAACAACAUCUGGGCUCGGAGCUUCAACGGAAAGCAAUGGCAAAACUGGGAGGUCUUCAGUUUAAGUUCAAAUAUCGCAAGGGCAUCGAUAACACGGCCGCAGAUUCUUUGUCACCUAUUGGGCAUUUGUUCACUGUCACAGCCACAUCAACGUGUCAACCUUCAUGGAUUCAGGAAGUGUGCAAUUCUUACCGCACUGACGCCAAGGCAACGGAGCUUUUGCAGGCAUUGACGAUUUGCAGCCCAGACACUCAUGGCCAUGAACUAGACAGAGGCAUGAUUAAGUACAGAGGAUGCCUCUGGAUUGGGAAUAAUGCAGCAUUACAAACUAAACUGAUCAGUGAGCUACAUACAACUGCGGUGGGAGGUCAUUCAGGUAUCCAUCCAACUUAUUUGCGACUGAAGAAUUUGUUCUUUUGGCCUGGCAUGAAACUACAAGUUGAGGAGUUUGUCAAGCAGUGCAGUGUCUGUCAGCAAGCGAAACACGAACAUGCACAUCCGUCGGGCACAUUACAACCCUUGCCGAUACCUGUUCGAGCCUGGGGCGAAGUAACGAUGGAUUUUAUUGAAGGGUUGCCGCGUUCAGAAGGGGCUGAUGUGAUUCUGGUGGUAGUGGAUCGAUUAACUAAAUAUUCACACUUCAUUCCACUCCAUCACCCAUUCACAGCUCUUCAGGUUGCUCGUGCAUUCCUCGACAACAUUGUCAAAUUGCAUGGUGUUCCAGAAUCAAUCGUUUCUGACCGGGAUAAGAUCUUCACGAGUGCAUUUUGGAGGGAACUAUUUGCGCUCGUCGGCACCAAGCUUCUUUACACUACCGCCUACCAUCCACAGACGGAUGGCCAGAGCGAAACGGUGAAUCAAUGUCUUGAGCAUUAUCUACGUUGUGCUGUUCACGACACACCGUGUCGGUGGAAAAGAUGGUUACCAAUGGCAGAAUUCUGGUACAACUCGAGUCAUCACAGUGCGAUCGGGUGCUCGCCGUUCAAAGCUUUAUAUGGAGUGGAUCCGAACUUUGGUGCCCUGCCUAAUCUAUUCAACACAACGACUCCGGCAUCACUGCAUGAGCUGGCCGCAGAGCACCAACAGUUCACUGAAAUGCUAAAAGAACACCUACUGCAUGCACAACACAGAAUGAAACAUCAGGCUGAUCGCAAACGCACAGAGAGGGAGUUCAGUGUUGGUGAUCAAGUGCUACUCAAACUUAAACCGUAUGUGCAAUCCUCGGUGGUCAACCGGCCUUGUCCCAAACUGGCAUACAAAUUCUAUGGCCCGUACAAAGUCACCAGCCGCAUUGGCACUGUUGCGUACAAGUUGGAGCUGCCCCAGGAGAGUAAAAUUCACCCAGUUUUUCAUGUUUCACAGCUUAAACCCUUCACGGCGGACUACUCGCCAGUCUUCAAUCAACUGCCCGCUCCACCGGACCUCACUGUCGGCGAUCUGGUUCCUCAGGCGAUUCUGGAGCGCCGCCUCGUCAAGCAAGGGAACGCGGCAAUUCCUCAAGUCCUGGUGCACUGGCGCACGCUUUCGCCGGCCAGUGCAACCUGGGAGAACUACCAUGUGCUUCAACAGCGAUUUCCGGGCGUCGACCUCGGCAAUGGCGCUUCGACUCAAGGAGGGGACAAUGUCACGCCCUACUCUCCACCCGAUCAGGCAGGAGAGCAUGCGGACAGCAAGGCACCAGAGGUGCAGCCGCGUGAGGAGGAAGAUCAAGGCCCACGGGCAGAGAGCAUGGAAAAGUCCUUGGUAGGUUAG